UACGUAGGGCGCGAGCGUUGUCCGGAAUUAUUGGGCGUAAAGAGCUCGUAGGUGGCUUGUUGCGUCUGCCGUGAAAGCCCGUGGCUUAACUACGGGUCUGCGGUGGAUACGGGCAGGCUAGAGGCUGGUAGGGGCAAGCGGAAUUCCUGGUGUAGCGGUGAAAUGCGCAGAUAUCAGGAGGAACACCAAUGGCGAAGGCAGCUCACUGGGACGGUAUUGACGCUGAGGUGCGAAAGCGUGGGGGAGCGAACAGG
rnacentral:rRNA from 1 species